AUUCCAUGAUGAAGACACUUUCUAAUUAUAUCCUUGUAUAUCUCCCAAGCUUCAUAUAGAGACUCAUUGUCAUGUUGCAUGAAAUUGUUGAUCUAUGAUCUCAGUCU